GUGCCAGCAGCCGCGGUAAUACGAAGGUCCCAAGCGUUAUCCGGAUUUAUUGGGUUUAAAGGGUGCGUAGGCGGGCUAUUAAGUCAGUGGUGAAAGCCCCCGGCCUAACCGGGGAACUGCCAUUGAUACUGAUGGUCUUGAGUACAUUUGAGGUGGGCGGAAUGUGUCAUGUAGCGGUGAAAUGCUUAGAUAUGACACAGAACACCGAUUGCGAAGGCAGCUCACUAAACUGUAACUGACGCUGAGGCACGAAAGCGUGGGGAGCAAACAGGAUUAGAAACCCUGGUAGUCC
rnacentral:rRNA from 1 species